rnacentral:rRNA from 1 species
AUUGAACGCUGGCGGCAUGCUUUACACAUGCAAGUCGAACGGUAACAGGCCGCAAGGUGCUGACGAGUGGCGAACGGGUGAGUAAUGCAUCGGAACGUGCCCAGCCGUGGUGGAUAACUACUCGAAAGAGUAGCUAAUACCGCAUACGAUCUAUGGAUGAAAGCGGGGGACCGUAAGGCCUCGCGCUGUUGGAGCGUCCGAUGUCAGAUUAGGUAGUUGGUGGGGUAAAGGCUCACCAAGCCAACCAUCUGUAGCUGGUCUGAGAGGACGACCAGCCACACGGGGACUGAGACACGGCCCAGACUCCUACGGGAGGCAGCAGUGGGGAAUUUUGGACAAUGGGCGCAAGCCUGAUCCAGCAAGGCCGCGUGGAGGAAGAAGGCCUUCGGGUUGUAAACUGCUUUUGUACGGAACGAAACGGCUCUGGUUAAUACCCGGGGCUAAUGACGGUACCGUAAGAAUAAGCACCGGCUAACUACGUG